UCGUCACCUCAUUCGUUGAGCGUAUGUGCUGGACCACGGCAGGGGAAUAAAAGGUCACCAGAACUUUUCAUCAUCAAAAGACUUCAAAAGAGUAACAGUAUCAACACGUGAACAUCUAUCCCUCUUUUCUCUUUCCUUCCUAUUAUACUGGAAGGUUUUCCUCCGGGAUCUGUCCUUGCUUCCCAACUUACAGCACUUUUUUUCACUGCUUGAAUAUUUGGCUUUAUCGUCUACUUUUCUCGAAAACUGAGAACAUAUUUACCUCAAUACAGUCUGGCACGCCAGCAGAGUUCAGAAACUCCCAAACAGAAGAGCCAGUAACUGAAGGGAUUUCUAAGGAGAGGUUCCGACCAGCCUGCUCUGGGGGCGGAGCCACGCACAGGGCGAGUCGCACCUGGGGGUGUGGCUACGUACAGGCUACAGAGGCCACAUCCUGCGGCGGUUCGCGUCCUGGAGGGGACUGCAUCCAGGGGCGGGCUUCGUCUCGGGAAAGCCACACCCAGAGGCGGUAUUACCCCAGGGUGAGCCAUGCUCAGGGGCGGGACACGGCCAGAACCCGGAACUGGAAGGAUGUUCGCAGUUCGCCAGUUUUCAAACAAGCCAACAAGAGCUUCAACCACGGGGACCUAGCGAGAUCACAAGCAGGCAGAGAGCAGGCAGAGAGAGAGAGG